rnacentral:rRNA from 1 species
UACGUAGGGUGCGAGCGUUGUCCGGAAUUAUUGGGCGUAAAGAGCGCGCAGGCGGCUUGGUAAGUCGGAUGUGAAAUCCCGAGGCUCAACCUCGGGUCUGCAUCCGAUACUGCCCGGCUAGAGGUAGGUAGGGGAGAUCGGAAUUCCUGGUGUAGCGGUGAAAUGCGCAGAUAUCAGGAAGAACACCCGUGGCGAAGGCGGCUUUCUGGGGACGGUACUGACGCUGAGACGCGAAAGCGUGGGGGAGCGAACAGG